UAUUAAAAAUUUUAAAUUAGUGUAAUUAAUCAUUGAUUAUCAUUAGCAUCACCUACAUAAAUAAUAAGAAUUACACACACACACACUCACACACACACACACACAUACCCAUAGUAGAAGAGAGUUACAAACAUGUAUUAAGAUUCAUCCUUUCAAUUGGUUUAUUACUCUCAAAGUGACCAUAGUGACAAUUUUUAAUUGGUGUGGCCUUUUUUUUUUUUUGUCCUGUAAAGGAUCAGAAGAAUCAGAAAAGGGGGACUGGUAAACCGCUAUAAUCUGGCAUAAGCAGCUUGGUGAUGAAUUUGAAUUCUAUGGCACACAAUUUUACAUUUCCAACAUAUUCUAAGUUUGUACAGGCACAUUCGUGGGCUUGAGGUCAUGGCAAAGCUUUCUCCUUUAGAGACCUUGUUUGAAGAUCUCUUCAACUUGAGACCAAAGCAGUGUAAAAGGACUCAAUAAAAAAUCUUUCUGUUGCCCUAUCACACGUGGCAAUGUUCCUAAAUGGCUGGAAGAGAGAAUUGUCAUCACAAAACUGUUCCCACUGAUGAUUAUGAUGAUAGUGCAUGGACAGCCUGACGCCACAGCACAAGUUCUCUGAAACCAUACGUCAUAGUGGAAAAGAAGAGGAGAAAGGGAAGAGAGGACUAGGGAAGCUUCUUACCGUAUUUCACUGUGCUGGGAGGGCUCUUAAGAAAAACAUCAAAUCAAAAAUCAAUGCUAAAGGUGAGUCACAGUUGUAAAUAAAAUUUACAUUUUUUGUCUCCCGGAAUAAAUGAUAUUAGGCCAAUGUUUUUGUUCA
rnacentral:lncRNA from 1 species